rnacentral:rRNA from 1 species
UACGUAAGGGGCAAGCGUUGUCCGGAAUCAUUGGGCGUAAAGAGCGUGUAGGCGGCCAGAUAAGUCCGCUGUGAAAUCUCGAGGCUCAACUUCGAGCUGUCGGUGGAAACUGUCUGGCUAGAGUCCGGAAGAGGAGAAUGGAAUUCCUGGUGUAGCGGUGAAAUGCGCAGAUAUCAGGAAGAACACCCGUGGCGAAGGCGGUUCUCUGGGACGGUACUGACGCUGAGACGCGAAAGCGUGGGGAGCGAACAGG